CCUGUCUCCGGCCCGCCACCACCUGCUCUAGUGCCGUGUCCACCCUGUGGGGCCCUAGGCGCCCAGCGCACCGAGGGGAAGGAGGGCCGAGCCGUCCCCGCCUGGGCCAGAGGAGGGCCCGCCGCGGCCCCUCUGCUCCCCGCCCGGGUCCCUAGUCCCCGUGGGCAGGACAGCGGCCAGGCAAGAUCCCCUGGGGUCCAGGGUCGGACCAGGCCCUGUGGAGGCCGCAGGUCUUCAGAACAGGAGAGGAGGCCAGGAGGCCAGGGGGCCCUGUGGUUUGGACACGUCCUGGUCGGUGACACAGAGGAAGUCCCCAUCUCCACCCUGCUGGGCUCUCCCCCCAGUCGCAGGUGGCUGUCCCACUGUCCAUGCCUCAGGUGUCAGGAGCCACGCUGCCCAGGACAGCCCAGCGCCAGGCGCCCGGGGGGCCUGUGUCCCCAGCCGUGUGACGUGGGACCUGGGGCAGGGACGCAGGGGGGCUCUCCAGUCUGGGGUCCCCCCAAUAAAGCAAGGUCUGGGCCUGCUCCUGCGAGGUCCCCAUGUGGUGAUGAAGAGGGGGGGCCUCAGGACACCCCGUGGCUCGCCCACUCAGCCGCAGGGGCAGGUCCUGGGGACGACCUGUCAGCUCAGAAGGGGCCUGGAGGGGUGUGGGGGGACAGGGAGGCGGCUGGGGAGGGGACACGAGGGAAAGUGGGGCCAAGCCAGGUCCCACAGAACCGAGGCCCCAGGGGGGGUGUCCAGGGUGGUGGCAGCGAGGUCUCUGUCCCAGGCUGGUGGCAGCUGGGGUGGGUCCUGGGCCUGCAUCUCCAGUGGCCUCACCCCGAGUCCCCAGGUCCUCCUUCUGUCCCCAUGCACAGAGCCGAGUGCCUGCCUCUGGCCCGUCCGCCACCUCUGCCCUGAAGGGGACACUCAGAGUCCCCUCGGGUGUGGGGUGACGGGACACUGGUCAGCUGACCUGGCCCACCCUCCAGGUGCAUCCACGGGCUCCUGCAGUGUCCCUCGCACCCCGUGCUGGGGCCGGGCAGGGUCCCCCGAUCCCAGGCUGUCCCCACACCGCCCCCUGCAGCAGAGCCCAGGCCCAACAGGGUCCCUUCCCCCGUGGUGACCUGGAUCUGACCCAAGGGCCCCAAAGCCACCUAUGCCCAGUGCGGGCCGGGGACCUCCAGGCUGCGGUUUGUCACUGUGGGGCUUCUGUCCCCGAGACCCAUAAAGGCUCUUGACUGGACUGGCUGCCGUGUCUUCUUGGGGUGAGU
rnacentral:lncRNA from 1 species